rnacentral:rRNA from 1 species
UACGAAGGGGGCUAGCGUUGCUCGGAAUCACUGGGCGUAAAGGGUGCGUAGGCGGGUCUUUAAGUCAGGGGUGAAAUCCUGGAGCUCAACUCCAGAACUGCCCUUGAUACUGAGGAUCUUGAGUUCGGGAGAGGUGAGUGGAACUGCGAGUGUAGAGGUGAAAUUCGUAGAUAUUCGCAAGAACACCAGUGGCGAAGGCGGCUUACUGGCCCGAUACUGACGCUGAGGCACGAAAGCGUGGGGAGCAAACAGG